GACCUAGUAGUGGAGGGACCACACCUGCUUUCAGUGCAUAAGAAGGCGAAAUUAUGCUGGAGGAAUCCCUGGUUCGACUCCGGGCUAGGUCA